CCAAAGGCCCUUUUCAGGGCCACUCCCAAAGUCGCACUGAAGGGCUCU
rfam:Pteropus alecto contig104260, whole genome shotgun sequence.